rnacentral:rRNA from 1 species
GGCUCAGGACGAACGCUGGCGGCGUGCUUAACACAUGCAAGUCUAGGACGCUGAUGUAGCAAUAUGUCGGUGGACUGGCGCACGGGUGCGUAACGCGUAGGUAAUCUACCCUUCGGACUGGCACAACGUUGAGAAAUCAGCGCUAAUUCCAGAUGACGCAUCGAGGUCGCAUGGCCUUGAUGUCAAAGAUCCAAAAGAUCGCCAAAGGAUGAGCCUGCGUCCCAUUAGGUAGUUGGUAGGGUAACGGCCUACCAAGCCUGCGAUGGGUAGCCGGUCUGAGAGGAUGAUCGGCCACAUUGGGACUGAGACACGGCCCAGACUCCUACGGGAGGCAGCAGUGAGGAAUAUUGCUCAAUGGGCGAAAGCCUGAAGCAGCAACGCCGCGUGCGGGAUGAAGGCUCUCUGGGUCGUAAACCGCUGUAGAACGGGACAAAGGCCCCACUCCGUGGGGCUGGAUGGUACCGUUAAAGUAAGCCUCGGCUAACUACGUGCCAGCAGCCGCGGUAAUACGUAGGAGGCAAGCGUUGUCCGGAAUCACUGGGUGUAAAGGGUGCGCAGGCGGGAGUGCAAGUCAGAGGUGAAAUCUUACGGCUCAACCGUGAACCUGCCUCUGAGACUGUACUUCUUGAGUCCGGAAGAGGGUGGUGGAAUUCCUGGUGUAGCGGUGAAAUGCGUAGAUAUCAGGAAGAACACCAGUGGCGAAGGCGGCCACCUGGUCCGGUACUGACGCUCAGGCACGAAAGCGUGGGGAUCAAACAGGAUUAGAUACCCUGGUAGUCCACGCCCUAAACGAUGAAUACUUGAUGUUGGCCCCGUGAGGGGUCAGUGUCGGAGAUAACUUGUUAAGUAUUCCACCUGGGAAGUACGCUCGCAAGGGUGAAACUCAAAU